UACUCUCUUCAAUGUCAUGGUCUGUUCAAGGGAUCGCGAUUCUUAAGAAAAAAGGGCUUCACUCGGUGGAUCUCAUCUCCUUUAAAGGAAGGAUCGUUGAUUGUACAUGUACCUCUUCAUGUCAAGAUCUUCUACGGAAUCAUCGUAUUCGUCUACAUAUAAGAACUAUGGAGUUCCAUAAAACGACAGAAAAAUGACUCAGUGAGGAACAGAGAGAGUUUAUAUCCUCCGUUCACAGCUCCUUCUUUAAAAUUCAGCUCUGCUUCGUCUCCUACUCUAAGAAAACUAUUUUAUAAAUAAGAGUCGUUCAAUGCCCUUGAUGUAUUGUAUAUAAUGCAGAAAUACCUCAUCGGUUUCAGAUUUAUAUCAAUUCCAUUGAUAAGUUGGACUUUGUGAUAUACAUUCUAUUCGGAUAAUUAUAAAACCUGGACACUUCUAUCGCACCCCUGAUUUUUUUAUUACUGUAAAAUUAGAAUUAGAAAAACUUAAUCAGUGCAACUCCAUAGAACCAAUUAAAGGAAUAUAAAAAAAAAAAUGAAAAUAAAUAUAUGAAUUUGGAACAAUUGGAUCAGUGCUUACAAAUUAUAUGAUGUUUUUAUUUUCACACUCAUACUUAUUAUUUGAUUUUCUUCAUAUUCUUAAGUUUCUAGUAUAAAUGCAUUUCUUUAUUUAUUAAAAAUAUAUACGUAAUAUUAACAUAAUCAUUUAUAUUCUCUUAAUGAAAACAAAUGUAUUGAAAAAUGU
rnacentral:lncRNA from 1 species